rnacentral:lncRNA from 1 species
ACGGUUUGACGGCGUCCUCCCGCAUCUGUGUCCGUGAAUUGGUUUUCUCAUGUCCGCGGACGAAUGCGGAAAGAAAUUUACGAGUUACCUUUAAAGAUGUCCUUAUAUUUCUAAAUAUCAACACAUUUGGUAUCACUCUAUCUUUAGAGAGAUCAAAUAGUAAGAUCUCAUUCUUAAACUAUCAAAGCUCUAGCCCGCGCAUCGAGUGGACCACUUUCCUAGUUAGCACUAAAAUGAGAUGUUAAACAAUGUACAUAGCUAAGCUACGUACGUGGCAUCUUGCUCCCCUCGGUUUGUUACGACCAAGAUCAAUUCCAACCAAAAAGAAAGGAAUCCGGGCUGGUCAUAUGAAUGCAUCCAUCGUGAGUGGUGAUGCACGUAUGCCUGGAGACUAGUAGUAGAAUCCGUAAGAGUUUCUGAGAUGGAGGGAUGACCGUGUCCGAUAAGGGAGAGGUCGCGCUCCCGCGUACUAGUUGAUGUCCUGAUCCGCGAUCGUGUGCAUCUCGGUCUCUUCUUCCCUGACUUGCUCUCUCUCUAUAUAUACAUACAUACAACACCGAGCGAUCGCCAAAUCAAGAGAUGAUAAGUCAAAGUUUAUAAUAUCCUUCCUGUGAAAACAAAAGGUUUGUCGAUAGUCUUAGGAAAACUAUGUGAGAGCGAGCAUCCAAAACUUAAAAACACGCGCCAAGUUUCGAGCUUUCCACGAAUUUACUAUCCGUCCAUAUUUACAGCAAGGAUGGAACUCAUUUAGCCCACAUGAUGCAUAAUAAUAAGGUUUUAUCCCCUCACGCCCCUGUGACCGCUUCUUCUUGACAGAUUCUACGGACCAACGUCUAACAGUCCCCCAUCUACUUCUCCCUCACGUGUCUAUUACUCUUCCACCGGUUAGAGCUCAUAAUCUUGAUGCGCGGGCUCCAUGAAAGUUUUGGAGUAGAGCUCUGCCGCGCAGGAGAGCAGCAACGGGAGCUCGAUCGUGACUGGCAACAAAAGGAUCUCCUAUGUUCAUUCAUCUACGGUGGCAUGAAUCAACGAAGAUAACUACCUCCAUUGAAAAAAAAACACUAGCAAAGUCCUAGAAUGCUGUCCACACAAAGUUUUCCUACAAAACCCAACACGUUCCAGCAGGGAAGGAUGCAUAAACUAGCCUUGACAUACAUAUAUAAUCCAUGACGAGCAAAGCAGGCAAUUAACACGGCACCCUCACCAAAUGCACUACCUAAAAUCAUAGCUCAUAGACCGCGUUACCUAAAAUCAUCGCUCAUGCAAGAGACACUCAGCACGCACAAAGAAAAAAUAAUAAUUUCGUACCAGCACAGCCACAAAUUAAGCCCGCACCAAUUUGGGCGGAAACUUGUUUAACCAGUUGCGAGAACUAAUAGAAACGGGAGAAGUUACAUGUAAGUCUUAACUGUCUCACUGGUCACUAAUUGUUUGGAGAUAAUGGCAUCUAUAGUCCGUUGGCAAGGUCCAACUUAAUCCUGAAACUUGUGUACUCUUUCAAUACGGUACCGGUACACGAAAAUAUGGUCAAUACAGUCCCUAAGAUUUAAACAUCAGUACUGACUAUACAAGUUGCAUACGUAUAUCGUAUUUCUAUAAAUGACACGUGCCAUCUUAGCCCACGACCCUUACAUGAGUGGAAACAAUGAAAGGAAAAAAAAAAGCAAGCAGGGCCAAGUACGUGAUCGUGUUUCCUAUGGUGAUGCAUCUUCUAUUAUUGCAUACCUUUUUGUUUUACAAAACAAUCACUAACCUAUAAAUGCUCAGGCAUUUUUCUAAAAUAACGUUAAUCAAUUCAAAAAUGUUCACGAUGCAAAAAUAGAAGUUAGUCUCUACUAAUAAUGUCCAUAAAAUUUUAAAAUAUUCAAAACAAUGUUUUGGAAUUUCAUAAAAAUCG